ensembl:lncRNA
AGUUCUCGCAGCAGUGCACGUCCCUUGAUGGUCACAGGUGCGGCGAAACCCAGCGGGUCAAAAAGACUGUUGACUGUGGAUAGGACUCCACGGCGGGUAAACGGUUUGCCGCUGACGGCGACCUUGAAUGUAAAGGUGUCAGAGUCAAUGUCCCAGCACAACCCCAGGCUUCUUUGCAUUGGCAAAGCUCCGUCGUCCAGGCCCAAGUCUUUCAGGCCUGCAGCCCGGUCUUCAGGUGGGAAGGCUUGCAUUACUGUGACACUGUUUGAGGCUAUCUUAUGCAGUUUGAGGUUUGACUCUGCCAGCGAUGCUUGAGUGCGCCUGAGUAGAUCGAUGGCCUCAGACUCAGACGGCAGUGAGACGAGCCCGUCAUCCACAUAAAAGUGUCUCUCCACGAAGUGGCGUGAGUCGGAUCCAUACUUCUGUUCGCCCUCCUGGGCCGCUUUCCGAAGUCCAUAUAUAGCCACCGCGGGCGACGGGCUAUUGCCGAACACAUGCACUCGCAUGCGGUACUCCGCCACCUCCUUCGUCAGGUUGUUAUCCUUGUGCCAGAGAAAUCUUAAGUAGUCUCUGUGAUCUUCUCUCACGAAGAAGCCAUAGAACAUUUGUUGGAUGUCAGCUGUCAGUGCAAUGAGUUCUUUUCUGAAUCUGAGCAGUACUCCGAGGAGGGAGUUGUUCAAAUCAGGGCCAGAGAGCAGGACACUAUUGAGAGAGAGGCCGUCUUCUUGUGCACUCGAGUCAAACACAACUCUAAUCUGACCCGGCUUUUGGGGGUGGUACACCCCGAAAAUGGGUUUUUUGUUCAGUGUGCGCCGCAAGGAGUGGAGACGAGAGAGGGCCUGAGCACGGUUGUUUGGGAGGCGUGGCCUGGGUGACCUGAAUGGCAGGGGAGCAAUCCAGCUGUUUUGUUCAUCUCUUUUGAAUUCUGUGUGCAUGGCAUUCAAGAAUGUCUCAUCUUCAAAAGAUAGAGCGUGUUUGUUGUCAUUUGCUGUUCUCAUGAACACGUCAAGUCCAAGCUUGUCCUCAGGGCGCACGUUGACGAGAGAGUGGCUGGAGAGGUCAUGUCUUUGCUCCCCGCCGUAGCUUGCCUUGUCUUUGACGUGUAUGUGAUUUUGACACGGUGUCAGGUACGAUGGACGUCCGUUAUGAAGGACAUUUGUCUUGAAGACAGCAACAGUGGGCUUGCGGGCACUGUCAAUGCAAACUUCCCCAACUAUGACCCACCCCAAGUCCAAGCGCUGGGCAAAAGGUGCAUUGUUAGGGCCAUUAAUCUGUUGUCUCACUUUAUGAACACGGAUUAGGUCUCUCCCUAAUAAAAUGAGAAUCUGUGCUUCAGGGUCAAGCUCUGGGAUAUGAGGAGCCACAGGCCUCAGGUGAGUGUGAGAAAGAGCCACCUCUGCUGUGGGGAUUUCUGACCUGUUGCUCAUGAUCUCAUUGCACUCAAUGAGUGGGGGCAAAUCCAGACUCACUGGGCCGUCGACUGCUUCUAUCUGGAAACCGACUGCUUUCCUCCCAGCCAUUUCAGUGGUGCCAGCGCAGGUCCUCAGCAGGUAAGGAGCAGGGCUACCGUGGAUGCCGAAGAGCUGGAAAAACUCAGACCUGGCCAGUGAGCGGUUGCUCUGGUCAUCAAUGAUGGCGUACAUCUUCACAGCACGUUCUCUUUCGCCUCGUGGGAAGACCUGCACCAGGCAUAUCUUUGCACAGGAUCGAGCCGGGAGACCAUCUCCGCAGACCUCUGUACACCUGGAAGUCACCUCUGAAGGAAAGCUGCGUUGCUGUUCUGUGUGUGGCUCCGCAACAGGAAACGCUGCUGGUGACAGGGUGGUGUCUGGAUGCAUGGUUGUGCAGUGUUCCUCACUUUCACACUCAUUGCAUUUCAGCUUCACAGGACAUUCC